UUCUCACUUAAACUCCCAUUCUCCUCACUCUGUCUGAAAAGUUAAUUCAGAGCAUGGGGUAACUUUUCCGAUGGAGUGAGAGAAUGGGAGGUCAAGUAUUUU
rnacentral:pre_miRNA from 1 species